GACGAACGCUGGCGGCGUGCUUAACACAUGCAAGUCGAACGAAGAGCGAUGGAAGCUUGCUUCUAUCAAUCUUAGUGGCGAACGGGUGAGUAACGCGUAAUCAACCUGCCCUUCAGAGGGGGACAACAGUUGGAAACGACUGCUAAUACCGCAUACGAUCUAAUCUCGGCAUCGAGGAUAGAUGAAAGGUGGCCUCUACAUGUAAGCUAUCACUGAAGGAGGGGAUUGCGUCUGAUUAGCUAGUUGGAGGGGUAACGGCCCACCAAGGCGAUGAUCAGUAGCCGGUCUGAGAGGAUGAACGGCCACAUUGGGACUGAGACACGGCCCAGACUCCUACGGGAGGCAGCAGUGGGGAAUCUUCCGCAAUGGACGAAAGUCUGACGGAGCAACGCCGCGUGAGUGAUGACGGCCUUCGGGGUUGUAAAAGCUCUGUUAAUCGGG
rnacentral:rRNA from 1 species